rnacentral:rRNA from 1 species
GGACAACCUGCCCUUAGGACGGGGAUAAACCCGGGAAACUGGGUAUAAUACCCGAUAGGUCUCGAUUGCUGGAAUGCAUCGAGAUUUAAAGCUCCGGCGCCUAAGGAUGGGUCUGCGGCCUAUCAGGUAGUAGUGGGUGUAGCGUACCUACUAGCCUACGACGGGUACGGGUUGUGAGAGCAAGAGCCCGGAGAUGGAUUCUGAGACACGAAUCCAGGCCCUACGGGGUGCAGCAGGCGCGAAAACUUUAUAAUGCUGGCAACAGCGAUAAGGGAACCUCGAGUGCCAGGUUACAAAUCUGGCUGUCGAGAUGCCUAAAAAGCAUUUCAUAGCAAGGGCCGGGCAAGACCGGUGCCAGCCGCCGCGGUAACACCGGCGGCUCGAGUGGUAACCGUUAUUAUUGGGUCUAAAGGGUCUGUAGCCGGCCGGAUAAGUCUCUUGAGAAAUCUGGCAGCUUAACUGUCAGGCUUUCAGGAGAUACUGUCUGGCUCGAGGCCGGGAGAGGUGAGAGGUACUUCAGGGGUAGGGGUGAAAUCUUGUAAUCCUUGAAGGACCACCAGUGGCGAAGGCGUCUCACCAGAACGGACCUGACGGCAAGGGACGAAAGCUAGGGGCACGAACCGGAUUAGAUACCCGGGUAGUCCUAGCCGUAAACGAUACUCGCUAGGUGUCGGCCACGGUGCGACCGUUGUCGGUGCCGUAGGGAAGCCGUGAAGCGAGCCACCUGGGAAGUACGGCCGCAAGGCUGAAACU